AGCGAUCCAACUCUAGUCUCCGGUAUCUCCUACACUGGCAGGCAGAUUCUUUACCACUGAGCUACCUGAGAAGCCCCUCCGCGAAACAUACCCUGAACUUUUCUCUCAAACCUUCUAUCACUUUGACCCUUUGUGCUGCUUCUUAAACGUUUUCUUCAGAUCCAUUUGCUAUUUUUUCCUUAGCUAUGUCUAACCUGCUGUGUAACUCAUUCAUUGAGCUUUUCAUUUCAAUGACUCGAUGUGUCAUUUCCAAAAGUUCUGUUUAGUCAUCUUUCAAAUCUCCCUUUUUUUUUUAAUAGUUACGUAAUUUUCUCGUGGUUCCAAAUGUUCUUUAUGUCUUUGAUAAUUUUAAACUUACUUAUUUUACAGUCUGUCUGGUAGUUCUGUUGUUUGAGGUUCUUGAAACUCACAUCUACUACAUCUUGGUUAUGGUGGAUUUAUCCAUGUAUGUUUUGUAGAUUAGUGUUGGGUCAGUAUUUUUAUCUUUAUUUUUCACCUUUGGGGUUCCUGGACCAUACAGGAGAGGUAAAUUUCAGUUCCAGUCUCUGGGUAAAUUACAGCCCAGAACACUGGGCUAUAGUCCCAAAUUCUCAGCAAAGACUCCUCUCCACUUUUAACUUAUGCCAAGACAAAUUUUCUUGUCUCCCUGUGCCACUAGGGAGAUUUUCUUCCAGUGAAUUAUUUCUUUAGUGAUUCAUCCCUUUGAGGGUUCCAGAUUUAUCUGGGGAUCUCGGUUCCAUCUCCCCAGUUUAACAGAUAGAAACUGCAGUCUCCUUUCCAUUCUGAUGCUCCUUUCCAUUCCAGCCUUUCAAGGCCCAGCACACCUGCCUGCAGCCAGCUCCACGGCCUCCUCUUUGCUCACCUCCUCCUUGCUGUCAUCACCCUCUUGCUUCUGGCACUAGAGACGUUUGCUUUUGUCCCAUGAGCUCAUUUGAAUGGGUGUUUACUGCAUCUUGACCAAUAUUUAUGCUGCUGCUGCCAAGUCGCUUCAGUCGUGUCCGACUCUGUGCAACCCCAUAGACGGCAGCCCACCAGGCUCCUCCGCCCCUGGGAUUCUCCAGGUCGCUGAGCUGAUUAAGAAGAAAGCUGACUCCUACCUUCCAAUCUUGUGUCCAUUUCAUCUGCUUCCAAACAUAAAGCCGCCCGCUGCUUUUGCAAGAUCUUGGCUGGUUUAAAAAGGCAGAUUCGGGAUUUGUGUGCAGGAUUUCAGGAAUGUGGGGUCUUCUGGUUUGUUUUGUGUGUGGAUGGCACAGCAGAAGGGAAACAAAGCAUUCUGCUGCCUCGCAUGGAGGUUCUUCUAGUAGCCAGGCGACCUUGAGCGGAAAAGCCACCCUCAGUCUCCAGUACCCCAUCUGUAAACUGUGGGUCACUAUGGUUUUAAAGUAUCUUGGUCCUCCUGCAAGAGGUGGAGCCUGAUCUUCCCACCCCCACCCCGGGUCCCCCAGCGUGGGCUGUACUUAGUCACUGGGUUCUGAUGAAUAGAAUGUGGAGGAAAUGAUGGUGGAUGAACUCCAAGGCUGGAUCAGUAAAGGCACCUGGCUCCCGCCUGGCUCCAUCUCUCAGGUCACUCUAGGGAAAGCCAGCUUUCAUGCCGUCAAGAUGCUCAAAGAGCCUGAUAGACAGCCCCACGUGGAGAAGACUUGCAGUUUCCUGUCGGCAACCUGAACUAGCCUGCCAGAAUUGUGAGACCACCUUAAAGCAGCAUCUGCCAGCCCCACCCCAGCCUUCAGAUGAUAGCUGCCCCAGCUCACACUCAACAGGAACUUCCCUAGAAACCUGGAGCCAGAACUUUCCAGCUAAGCCACACCCAAUUCCUGCCCCUCAGAGACAUUUAAUACUUGUUUGAAACUACUAAGUUUUGGACUAGUCUGUUACACAGAAUAAAUGACUAAUACAGAGAUUCUUGGGUUUCCCUGAUAGCUCAGUUGGUGAAGAACCCACCUGCAAUGCAAGAGACCCCAGUUCGAUUCCUGGUUGGGAAGAUAUCCCUUGGAGAAGAGAUAGGCUACCCACUCCAGUAUUCUUGAGUUUCCCUUGUGGCUCAGCUGGUGAAGAAUCCACCUGCAAUGUGGGAGACCUGGGUUCAAUCCCUGGGUUGGGAAGAUCCCCUGGAGAAGGGAAAGCUACCCACUCCAGUAUUCUGGCCUGGAGAAUUCCAUGGACUCUGUAGUCCAUGGGGUCACAAAGAAUCAGACGCGACUGAGCGACUUUCACUUCACUUCACAGAGAUACUUAAAAAACGCAUGAAAAUAGAGCUGCUUACCUCAUAGGUUUGCUGCAAGAUUCGGGCGCUAACGUUUACAGAGUGCUUUAGUUAGACUCUGACCAAAUGAACUGUGCACUAGAUAUAAAGAAGGGAUUGCAUAUUAUUAAUGUUAUCAGAUUGCAACACAUUUUAUGUUCAAUUACCUGCAAUGCUCUUUCUGGAGCAUCGCUUUGCUCAUCUGCUUAUCCCCACUGCACACUUGUAAAAGGUCAUUGUCAAGAUAUAAAAUUAUAGGUACGAUUUAAAUGUCUUGACUCAGUUACUAACAACCGUGAGCAUGUUUUCAAAUUGGAAAAGCAAGAUCCAUUUAAACUCACUCUUUUUCCGCAAAAGGCUCUUUGUUUACUUUCUGGUAUUGCAUUUCACAGGCAGGCCAAGCGCCUCUCUGAUUAAAGAGUUUGUUCACUUUAUCUGUCUCCCUGUAGCUUCACAAGCCUUACUCUUAAGAAUAGACAUGGCAGACUUUGCACCAAAGAAGCAAACCUUACUUUUCACGAGAAAAUAUUUAGUAAAAGUGAAUUUUUAUUUAUGAAAAUUCCACCAAGCAUAAAUUACUUGUCUGAAAGUAAUGGGCUCUUUGUAGCUCCCUUAAAUAAAU
ensembl:lncRNA